rnacentral:rRNA from 1 species
UACGGGGGGAGCAAGCGUUGUUCGGAUUUACUGGGCGUAAAGGGCGCGUAGGCGGCCACCUCAAGUCGAUUGUGAAAUCUCCGGGCUUAACCCGGAAAGGUCAACCGAUACUGCGGGGCUAGAGUGCAGAAGGGGCAACUGGAAUUCUCGGUGUAGCGGUGAAAUGCGUAGAUAUCGAGAGGAACACCGGCGGCGAAGGCGGGUUGCUGGGCUGACACUGACGCUGAGGCGCGAAAGCUAGGGGAGCGAACGGG